ensembl:misc_RNA 7SK 7SK RNA
GAAAUACAAUUCCGGGCUGAGACAUCUGUUACUCCACUGAUCACCAGUAUUGAGUUGGAAAGAUUUGCCUGAUUAAGGAUGUGUCCACUUCCUCUAUUAGCACUCAUGUAAAUCCUUCCUAAAACUGUAUGCUUAGUUAAAGAGGAUGGAUUUCACAAUUAGAGGAGGAUUUGUCUUCAAUUAAGGUCAUAGAAGUAGUUGUGCUCCCUUGUAAAGAUUAUCCAAAUGAGUUCUUAAGAAAUAGUGUACUGCAAAUCUUAAAUAUCCUCCAGAUGUUCACAGUGU